UUGCUCUUCAACGAGGAAUUCCUAGUAAGCGCGAGUCAUCAGCUCGCGUUGAUUACGUCCCUGCCCUUUGUACACACCGCCCGUCGCUACUACCGAUUGAAUGGUUAUAGUGAGCAUAUGGGAUCCGCAGAAUUUGACUGGCAACAGUCAUUUUCUGCAGAGAACUAUGGCAAACUAGGCUAUUUAGAGGAAGUAAAAGUCGUAACAAGGUUUCCGUAGGUGAACCUGCGGAAGGAUCAUUAACUAAUGUAUUGGCACUUUACUGGGAUUUACUUCUCAGUAUUGUUUGCUUCUAUACUGUGAACCUCUGGCGAUGAAGGUCGUAACUGACCUUCGGGAGAGACUCAGGACAUAUAGGCUAUAAUGGGUAGGCCUGUUCUGGGGUUUGAUCGAUGCCAAUCAGGAUUACCUUUCUUCCUUUGGGAAGGAAGGUGCCUGGUACCCUUUACCAUAUACCAUGAAUUCAGAAUUGAAAGUAUAAUAUAAUAACAACUUUUAACAAUGGAUCUCUUGGUUCUCGCAUCGAUGAAGAACGUAGCAAAGUGCGAUAACUAGUGUGAAUUGCAUAUUCGUGAAUCAUCGAGUCUUUGAACGCAGCUUGCACUCUAUGGAUCUUCUAUAGAGUACGCUUGCUUCAGUAUCAUAACCAACCCACACAUAAAAUUUAUUUUAUGUGGUGAUGGACAAGCUCGGUUAAAUUUAAUUAUUAUACCGAUUGUCUAAAAUACAGCCUCUUUGUAAUUUUCAUUAAAUUACGAACUACCUAGCCAUCGUGCUUUUUUGGUCCAACCAAAAAACAUAUAAUCUAGGGGUUCUGCUAGCCAGCAGAUAUUUUAAUGAUCUUUAACUAUGAUCUGAAGUCAAGUGGGACUACCCGCUGAACUUAAGCAUAUCAAUAAGCGGAGGA
rnacentral:rRNA from 1 species